UGCUUGGGGAGGAGCCUGCGUUCUAUCAGCUUGUUGGUAGUGUAAUAGACUACCAAGGCUAUGACGGAUAACUGGUCUGAGAGGAUGAUCAGUCACAAUGAAACUGAGACACGGUUCAUACUCCUACGGGAGGCAGCAGUGAGGAAUCUUCCACAAUGGGCGAAAGCCUGAUGGAGCGACACCGCGUGAAGGAUGACGGUCUAACGAUUGUAAACUUCUUUUCUGAGGGAGAAUAAUGAUAGUACCUCAGGAGUAAGGGACGGCUAAUUACGUGCCAGCAGCCGCGGUAAUACGUAAGUCCCAAGCGUUACCCGGAAUUAUUGGGUGUAAAGGGUCCGUAGGUGGGCCUAUAAGUCAGGUAUGAAAGACCGGAGCUCAACUCCGUGUUUGUGCUUGAAACUGUAGGCCUAGAAUCAGGGAGAGGUUAGCGGAAUUCUUAGUGUAGGGGUGCAAUCCGUAGAUACUAAGAAGAACACCAAAAGCGAAGGCAGCUAACUGGAACUCGAUUGACACUGAGGGACGAAAGCGUGGGGAGCGAAGAGGAUUAGAUACCCUCGUAGUCCACGCCCUAAACGAUGAUAACUAAGUGUUGCAUGUAGAUGCAGUGCUGUAGCUAACGCGUUAAGUUAUCCACCUGAGGAGUACGGUCGCAAGAUUAAAACUCAAAGGAAUAGACGGGGACCCACACAAGCAGUGGAUCACGUGGUUUAAUUCGACAAUAAACGGGGAAUCUCACCCAGACUUGACAUCCUGAGAAUCUUCUAGAAAUAGAAGAGUGCCUUUACGGGAGCUCAGUGACAGGUGCUGCAUGGUUGUCGUCAGCUCGUGCCUUGAGGCGUUCGGUUAAGUCCGUUAACGAGCGCAACCCAUGUCCUUAGUUACUAUGUCUAAGGAGACUGCCUUGGUUAACAAGGAGGAAGGUGUGGAUGACGUCAAAUCAGCAUGGCUUUUACGUCUGGGGCUACACACAUGAUACAAUGGUAUGUACAAAGAGCAGCAAUACGGUAACGUGGAGCCAAUCUUAAAAGCAUAUCUCAGUCCGGAUUGAAGUCUGAAACUCGACUUCAUGAAGUUGGAAUUGCUAGUAAUCGUAAAUCAGA
rnacentral:rRNA from 1 species